AUUAUGGUUUUUAACCUACGUAGAUGCUUUCCCUUCAUUAAAAUCCUGCUUAUAAACUACAUGCAUCAAAACUACAGAUAAAAAUAUUUUAAAUUUUAUGUAACAAUUUUCAAUUUUGAAGAAUAUUAAAAAUUCAAUGAACAUUUUCUUAAAAGUAUGAUGCUAAAGAUGUACAACAAUAUGUGGCAUUAUUGCUUUCUUAGUAAACUUGUACUAAAAUAAUACAACAAAGAAAGUGACCCAUGACAUAAUAAAAAGGGUACGCUGCUCCAUGGCAGAAGUCAAAUUUGAAUCAAGAUCUGAAAUUUAGAUAGAAUUUUUACUUUACAAAGAUGAAGAAAGCAGUCAUUUUACGAAGGGAAUAGCAUAAAGAAUAACACUGAAAUAGAAAAUUCAUAGUGCAUUUUCGAAGAGUGGUGAUCAAUCUCUUUUAGCUAGAACAUAAAGUACAAAAGGGAUAAUAGGAGCUAAGUGUAGAAAAGUAUAAGACCAGAUAUUGAUGGUCAUGCAUCAGACAGUGGGAAGCCAUGUUCAUUUUUAUUUAUGUGUAAUUAAUUCUAGUACCUUAUCUCAGAGCUAAAAGUCAUAGUGUACAUAACUAUUGCUAUGAGGUCAGACCAUUUGAGAGUUUGCCUUAGUGAUUCGUAAUAUACAUGAAGUUACUGUGUAUGUGUGUGUGUUUAAGCUAUGACAUUAGAAUUCUGAAAUGAAGACGAUAAAUUGCUUGGCCAAAAGCCUGACUUACUUGAUCAGAUUCUGAACCACAGUAGUGAGUCCAGGCACUGACGUGAUAACUAGCAUUUAUAGACUCUUUCUCCUCUAAAUAGGUUGAUAAUGUUGAACACCAUAAUUAUGAGGAAUUGCCGAGAACUAGAUGGUCUUCAAAUAGUGUUUUUUAAAAUCCCAGUGAAUGGAAUUAUUUGCCAAAAUCAAUAUUAAAAAUAGGGUUUGUGACAGCAAAUCCAUUAUUAGGACAAAACAAAACCUUUUAAAUGAGAAAUCCUAAAGCAAACCCUUGUCCUAAAUAAUCAACACCAUUUUUUAGAUGCUGAGUAAUACAAAUGCUGGAUAAAUCAAUGUGAUUUAAAUUCACUGUCCUUUCAAGGAGACAUUUAAAGAGUCUGGUCAACACCGAACCCUCUGGAAAAGUGUUCAGUGUUGCCCAAUUUGAAGGUCGUGGCUAAGUGAUAAAGGCAAUCCAAAAAGCACAAAUGGUUGGCUCCCCCUGCUUCCACUGCUCCUGCUGCCAGAACUGACUAUAAAUCAGUGUGUCACAGGAGCAGAGUGUGUCAUAGUUUCAGGGAACAGUGCAGUCAUGCUGCCUACGGCUGUGUAGGUAUCCCUCUAGAGUCUCGUCCACACCUUGCCCAUCUGUAUUGUCCUACGGCCCGUCCUUUUCUCUGCUUCUCUGCAAUGUGUCCUGUUGAACCCAGAACUCAGCUAGAAAGACCAUACGGUAAAGGAAUUCAUACCAAGAUGCUUCAUAUAUAAAAUCAGCUUUAUUUCUUUUCAGGAAUAUUUUUACUUAGGCAACUCUUAAAAUCUAAAAUUAUUACAAGGGAACUAAAUAAUGAUAUUCUACCAAUGAUAGAGAAUUUAUGGCCUCAGUGGUAAGCGACCACUAGAUUGUUAUACUCUGGAGGACUUUUUGUUUUCUUAGCUUCCUUCAGUUUCUAAUUAAAGGGCUGCAAGAUGAACUACAUCUCUGAACCAGUCGUUUAUAUUUUUAUCUGACAACUUUUCCUUUUUUAUUAAUCUGUUUUAGCAGGUAGCCAAGUUGUGUGGUUCUUUGCCUUGUUCAAGAAGUAAAGUAUUGGCAAGGCAGAAACCAGACUUUGCUUACACAAAAAUAACCCUCCAGGCCCUUCCCAGAAUGGGAAUGAAACAGGUGACCCUGCAUCUAAGGGGCAGCAAAACAAAACUUUUUUUUUAACCAAACAGUGCCCCAAGGAGGGGGCAAAACCUCAAAGAAAGUGGAUGCAUGGUAUAUCCAGAGAGGCUGGAGUUUUAGAAUUGGAGUUAACAGUUUUACUACAUUUUCUCAUGCCCCAAAGGUAGAAUGGAAUCAGUAGGACCAACAGAAGUGAAGGGUCCACACCAGCUGGAACAAUGGGCAUUUCAGCAGUAACCACUAUGAACUGAUGACUUAUGGCCAGCAGAGCCUCCUCAAUGAUUUCACUUUCUAUAAAAACUGAAAAUCCCAGAGAGAGGAGACCUGAAAAUACAAUUCAAAUUAAAAAUCUCUCAUUUGUUUUAUAGAAUACGAGCACAAACUCAAAAUUAAUUUGACUAGAAAAACAUUUGACUAUAUUGUCUUAUGAUCUAAAACUUGCACAAUCUGCUGUGGUUUUAACCACAUUCCAACAUGCCACUAGAGAAUGUUCUUGGAGAGCUAUCUGAUGGUCAGAUGUCCCCAAUACCUCUGCUUCUACUUACCACAUAUUUGAGGUGACCACACAUUUUGGUCACCCAGGACAGUUCCAGUCUCUGACUGUUGUCCUGUUGUAAUUAUUAAUAGUGUAUCCUUUUAGACUCAAAGGUGUCCAGGUUUGGAUGAUAAAUUAUAUGGCUUCCUGAUACAUAACUGAUUUCACUAUAUCAGUCUGAAUAGGCUAGAUUAUGCUGUUCUAACAACACAGAAUUGGCAGUGGCUUAGCACAACAAAAGUUUAUCAGGUGACAUUGUAGGCAGUUGUCCUCCUUGGAAAGGUUCAGUAUUCCAGACACCACCAUAUUAAUUUUCUUUUUGAGAGAGAAAGAGCACACACACAUGUGAGUGAGCAGGAGGGGGAUGGGGCAAGUGGAGAGAAUCUCAAGCAGGCUCCAUGCUGAGCAUGGGGCUUGACGUGGGGCUUGAUCCCAUGACCCUGAGAUCAUGACCUGAGCCAAAAUCAAGAGGCAGACAUUUAACUGACUGAGACACCCAGGCGCCCCCAGACACCACCGUGUUAACAUGUGCUUUGCACGAUUGUUAUAAUGGGAAAAGAUGGCUCUUGGAGUGUCUUACGCCAGCAAAUAAGUGGUCCAGCCUGGAGGUGACACACAGCAUUUCUGCCCAGAACUCAUUAGCUAGAACCUUUCAUAGGCUCAGUCUAUCUGCAAGAGGGUGGAUAAUUUUCCCAUUUCCACAAAGAGAAGACGAGUGUGAAAAGUCUCACUGUGACUCUUCUGCUUGCUCAUGUCUGCUGUUGCGUUUUUCAUGCAUUUAUUGUAUUCGUGAGCUCCAGAAUUUCUGUUGGGUUCUUUUUUUUUUUUUUUUAUGAUUUCUGUCUCUUUGUUGAACUUCUUGUUUUGUUCAUGUUUUCAUGAUUUCAUUGUGUAUCUGUUCUCUUGAAGCUCACUGAGCAUCUUUAAGGCUAUUAUUUUGAAUUCUUUGUCAGGAAAAUCUGUAGAUCUCCAUUUUUUGGAGUUAUUUAUUGGAAAUAUAUUGUUUCAUGGCGUCAUGUUUCUUUGAUUUGUGUGUGUGUGCGCGCGCACGCCCACGCUUGUAGCUUUGUGUUGGGUGUCUUUGUGUGCACGCCUUGUAGCUCUGUGUUGGGUGUCUGCAUUUGAAAGAACAGUGACCUGUUGCAGACUUUGUGAAUUGUCGUUUGUGGGGAAAGACCAUCACCAGUAGUAGGUAUGAGAUUGCCUGCUAGGUGGGGUACACAGCAGUGACGUGUCCAGGGAUAUGUGGGGAUGCCACUUCUGGGGGGUUCUGUAGGGAUGCUUGUUCUAGGAGGCCUGUGGCGGCACUGAUUCUGGGGGAUGCAGGGGCACCAGGGCUGGAGGUGUGUGUGGAGCCAUGGCCCCAGCUGAGUCGGAGUAGGGAGUACAGAGGCGGCUGCAGCCAGGAGAGCGUCCUGCUCAGCAGCAUGGUCUUCAGGCAGCUGUGUGGGCAUCAGCAAAGACCGGGUGGACCUCGUUGGCAAAGGCAGUAGGUGUCUGUUGCAGUGGUGAGGGCUGCUGGGGUCCUCCUGCCCUCACCACCACUCCCCGCCCUCCUUCCCCCCAAGAGAAGUUGCAACUGAAGGGAUCCCUCUCCCCGCCAUGCUGUGCCGGGCUGGGGAAUGAGGUUGACACAGAUAAAAUGCUUCCUGAACUUUUCUGUGCAGCUCUUCUUGGUUUUAAUGCUCCAACAGGUUGCUGCAGCUUCUUAGUUGUGCACUGAAACUUUCCCAAAGCUAUUUUCUUCCAUGGGUAAUUGUUCAGUCACUGGUUUUGUUGCGGGGGAGGGGUGGCGGUGUGGGGCUGGGACCUCCUUAUCUACCAUCUUGCUGAUAUUGCUUCUGUAUGUAUGACUCUACAUAAUUUUAUUACUUGUGUAGGUUCCUGUAACCACCAGUGCAAUUAAGACAUAAAACUAUUGUAUCAUCAAUACGAUCAGCAAAUAUCUUCCAUCAACCACCCCCUUAGUAAUGACAGCCACUUUCCCACCAUCCCUAACUUCUAAUAACCACUAAUCUGUUUUCCAUGUCUAAUUUUGGCAGGUAAAGAAUGUCACAGAAAUGGAGUCACACAAUCUAUAACAUUUUGUGAUUGGCAUUAUUCACUAAAGAUAAUGUUGUGAUAUUUACCCAAGUUGUUGUGUGUAUCAGUCGUUUCUCCCUUAUUUCUGAGCAGUAUUCCAUGGUACAAAUAUACCACAAUCAAUUGAACCAUUUGCCUAUAGAGGGGCACUUUGGUCAUUUCCAGUUUGGAACUCUUACAAAUAAAACUCCUAUGAACAAUCGAAUACAGGUUUUUCUGCAAGCGUAGACUUUCAUUUCUUUGGAAUAAACACCAAGAAGUGCAAUUGCUGGAUCAUAUGGUAAGUAUAUGUUCAGUUUUUUUAAGAGUCCGCCAAACUGUUUUUCACAGUGAUUGUACCGUUUUUACAUUCUCGCCAGCCAUGUACAAGGGAACUAGAUUUUCCACAUCCUCACCAGUCUGUCAUAUUGUUGAUAUUUUUUUUGUUUUAGCUUCUCUUAAUAGUAGUGACCUUGAAUAUCUUUUUUAUGUGCUUACUUGCCAUUGGUAUACUCUCUUUAGUGAAAUGUCUCUUUAUGUCUUUUUUCAUUUUCUAGUUGAAUUUUUGUGUUUUUAAUGUCAUUCUUUGAGAGUUCUUGACAUAUUCUAGGUAUGAGUCCUUUGUCAAAAUUGUGGUUUGCAAGUAUUUUUCCCAGUCUAUCGCUUGCCUUUUCAUCUUUCAGCAGGGUGCUUCACGGGGCAAAAGUUUUAAUUUUGAUACAGUCCAAUAUAUCAAUUUUGUCUAUUAUAAAUCCAUAUUUGGGGAUCAUGCCUAAGAACGCCUCCCCUUCUAAAAGUUUUAUGGUUUUACACUUAAAUCUAUGAUUCAUUUCAAGUUAAUGUUUUAUAUUAGGUAUGAGUUUUAGGCUGAGUUUUGUUUUUUCCUAUAAUAUUCAGUUUCUCUAGCAUCAUUAAUUAAAACGAUUAUCCUUCCUCCAUGAAUUGCUUUUGCAUCAUUAUCAAAAAACAGUUUGUAGUAUGUAUAUAGAACUGUUUCUGUGUUUUCUGUUCUGUUUCAUUGAUUUAUGAGUUUAUCCCUCUGCCAAUGCCACAUAGUCUUUAUCAUUCUAACUAUAUAAGUUUGUUGUUGGGUUUUUUGUUUUUUUGAGGGAGAGAGAGGACACAAAUGAGUGAGAGGCAGAGAGUGAGAAUCCCACAAAGGGCGGAGAGAGAGAGAGAAGCAGGGCUCACCCAGGGCUUGUGUUUUACCUGAAGUAGGGCUGAUGUUCACCCAAAGUGGGGUUUAAACUCACCCAAUGUGGGACUCGAACUCAUGAACUAUGAGAUCAUGACCUGAGCUGAAUGAAGUCAGAUGCUUAACAACUGAGCUACCCAGGCUCACUAGCUAUAUAAGUUUUAAAACAGAACAAUUAUGCCCACUUUGUUCUUCUUCAGAAUUCCUUUAGCUGUUUUAUUGUUUUUCCUUUCCAUAUAAGUAUUAAAACAUUCAUGUCCACGCCUAUAAAACUACAUUUCUGGGAUUUUCGUAGAAACUAUAUUAAAUCUGUAUCUCAAAAUUUGGAGAGAGUGGACAUACCAUGUUGAGUUUGUCCAUUCAUAGGUGCAGAGUAUCUCUCACUUUGUAAUUUUGUUGAUUCUUUCAGGAGUGUUUAAUGGUUUUCAGCAUACAAAUCCUGUACAUAUUUUGUUAAAUAUGCAACUAGAUAUUUCACUUUUUUGAGCAGUUGUAAAUGGUAUUGAAUUAUAAAUUUUGGUUUCCACAUACUCAUUGCUAGUGUAUAAAAUGCUGAUAUUUGUAUGUUGUCCUUAUAUCUUGUGACCUUGCUGAACUCACUUAUUAGUUGUAGAACUUUUGUGUGUGCAUGAGUAGAUUUCUUGGGAUUUUUAUAUAGACUGUGUUGCCUGAAUUUCCAGUUCUGUUGAUUGUAAGUGGUUAGAAUAUGUAUACUUCCUUUUUCCUGAUCUUAAGGUAAAACAAUUUAAGCUUUCAUCAUUAAGCAUACUGUUACCUGUAGGUUUUUUUGUAGAUGUUCUUUAUCAAAUUGAAAUGUUCUUAUAUUCUACUUUGUUUUUAUCAUGAAUGGAUAUUGAAUUUUGUCAAAGGCUUUUUCUGUAUAUAUUGAUACAAUCAUGUGAUUUUUCUUCUUUAGUCUCUUAAUAGGGUAAUUACAUUGGUCGAUUUUCAAAUAUUGAACCAGAAUUGCAUCUCUGGAAUAAACACCAUUUGGUUAUGGUGUAUAAUUCUUUUUCUAUAUUGCUGGAUUCUAUUUGGUAAUAUUUUAAGAAUUUUUGCAUCUACUCAAACCAUUAUUACACUAUAUGUUAGCUAACUUGGAUUUAAAUUAAAAAAAUAAACAACAAAAAUGAAUUUUUGUAUCUAUAUUCAUGGGAAAUAUGAAUGUGUAGUUUUCUUUUUUUACUGUUUUAAUAUCAGUGUAAUAUUGGCUUCAUUGAGUGAAUUAGAAUGUGUUUUUUCUUCUAAUUUUUGGAAGAGAUUGUGUAAAUUGGAAUUAAAUUUUCUUUAAACUGGAAUUUAGUAGAAUUCUUUGGUGAAACCAUCUGAACCUGGAGAUCUCUUUUUUUGAGAGAGAGAGAGUCCACGUUCAUGCACGCAUGUGCAAGUGGGGGAGGAGCAGAGGGAGAGGGAAGGAGGGAAUCCUAAGCAGGCUCCAUGUUCAGCAUGGGCUCGAUCCUGGCAUCAUGACCUGAGCCGAAAUUAAGAGUCAGACAUUCAACUGACUGAGCUGCCCAGAUGUCCCUGGAGAUUUCUUUUUCAGGGGGUUUUUAGUUAAAAAUUCAAUUUGCCUAGUAAUUACAGAACUGUUCACAUUAUUUCAUACUGGAUGAGUUGUGGUAAUUUCAUUUAAGUUGUCAACGUUAUGUGUGCAGAGUUUUCUUUGUAUUCUUUAUUAUGAUUUUGAUGAAUGCAGGGUCUGUAGUGAUAUCUCAUGUUUCAUUAGUGAUAUUAGUAAUUUGUAUCUUCUCUCCUGUUUUUUUGGUCUUCCUAGAGGUCUGUCAGUUUAUUAAUCUUUACCCAAAAAUGUCUUUGUUUCACUGAUUUUUCUCUAUUGUCUUUUGCCUUCAAUUUCGUGGAUUUCUGUUUUUAUUUUUAUUUUUACCUUCUGCUUCCUUCAGUUUUAGUUUGUUCUUUUUCUAGUACUUUGAGGUGAGAGCUUAGCAUAUUUAUUUGGGACUUUCUUCUUUUCUAAUAUAAGCAUUGUAGUGCUAUAAAUUUUCUUCUUAAUGCUGGUCUGUGUUCUACCAAUUUUUAUAUGUUUUUAUUUUCAUUCAGUUUAAUUUUUUUUAUUGUCCUCAAGAUUUUUUUUUUUUUUUCUGAAUCUAUGGGCUGUUUAGAGGUAUACUGUUUAAUUUCUAAAUUUGGAAAUUUUUUUCUGUUACCUUUUUGUAAAUGAUUUCUGGUUAGAUUCCAUUAUACUCAAAGAACACGCUCUUUAUGACUUCUGGAUUCCUGUCAGUCUGGGACCUGUGAAACUAGAAAACAAGAAAUAUGAUGAUGGGACAGGUGUAGGAUACCAGUUAUUGGCAUUCCCAUCCCCAAGAGGAGAAAAUGGAAGGUGAAAAGGACGUACUAGUUGGGAGCAGUUUAGAAAUCCAACUUGUCAAACUCCAUUAGGUUUUAAGGCCUGGGAAUAAUCAUCUGUGCUCAUGGAUUCACCUUUGCCCUUGGCUCCUGGCCCCACCCCUGGAGUCAUCUUUCUUUUUUCAUAAAAGGUAGCAGUUAUUUGCAGUCGGGUUUUACCAGCCUCUCUCUCGUCUCUAGGACUGUGGGAGUCUGACAGCGUGGACAGCCUGUCUUUAUUUCCUUCUGCCUUGGUCCGUUUCAGUGCAGUGUUUCAGCCAAGCUCCUUGUGGGUCUCCCAUGUAUGUCUCAGGGAUCCACUCCAUUAAGCAAUAGGCUUCUCCACAAGUCUUUCCUAGAUAAUCCCAUAUUUACUCCAGGGUUUUGCUCAGAUGAGUCAGAUGCCUACUCGUCACAGAGCCCCCUGUUGACUGAAUACUCCAACCUUUCUGUCCUUCUGAGGCACUACCGAAAGGUUAUCCAGCCUCACUCUUGGCUGUCUCUCAGAGCAUGCUUUCCUGACGGUGAAUCUCUCAAUUUUAGCAUCUUUGACAGUCCGGAUAGGAUGAAAAUUUCCUAAAUCAUCAAGCCCAAAUUCCUUUUUGCUUAACAGUUCUUUCUUCAGUUUAUCUCUUUUGUCUCACAUUUUACUUAUAAGCAGUAGGAAGGAACCAGACUUCACCUUCAACACUCUGCUUGAAAAUCCCCUCAGCUAAACGUUGACAAAUUCUCUCCAACGACCAAACUUUAGUCAGGCUCCUCAGUGCUGUUUUGACUAGGCCUUGCCCUUGAGCUCUGUCCUUGGCCUAUUUAGUUCAGUUUUAAGCAAGAACCUUGCUGGGUCAGUUUAGUGAAAAUCCCCACCCUUGAUAUCUGAUCACGUUCAUCCCCAACCUUUGUUAGCCUGUCUUCAGCAAAAGUCCCCUCAAGUUAGUUUAGCCAGAAUCCCCCUACCCUUGAUGGUUCCUCUUAGUAAUUUUCCAUCCACUGACCUCUACCCUGCUCCUUGGCUAUAAAUCUCCACUUGUCCCUGUAACAGUUCAAUCUCUUGUUUAGCUCAAUCUCUCGCAGCCCGUCUUUAGUGACAGCCUGUCUUUAACAAGUAUCAUGAAAUUUAUUUUUCUUUAACGAUGUGUAAGUCCAGGGGCAACUGGGUGGCUGAGUCGGUUAAGUGUCUUUGUGAUCUCACAGACCGUGGGUUCAAACCCUGUGUCAGGCUCUGUGCUGACAGCUCACAGCCUGGAACCUGCUUCAGAUUCUGUGUCUCCCUCACUGCCCCUUCCCCGCUUGCACUAUGCCUCUCUCUCUCAAAAGUAAAUAAACAUUAAAAAAAAAAUUAACAGUGUGUAAAUCCAUCACUUGUAAGUUCUGCUUUCCACAUAAAAAAUAGGAAACAGCGGGAUGCUUGGGUGGCUCAGUUGGUUAAGCAUCCGAUUCUUGAUUUCGGCUGAGGUCAUGAUCUCCCAGUUGUGAGAUGGAGCGCCGUGCUGAGUGUGGAGCCUGCUUGGGAGUCUCUCUCUCCCUCUCUCUCUCUGCCCCUCCCCUGCUCACACUAGCUUGCUCGCUCUCAAAAAACAAAAACAAAAAAAACCACACACAAAAUUAGGAAACAAUUCAGCUAAGAUACUGCUGUAAAAUAAGGAUCCCUUUUCCUGUGAUUCCCAGUAACAUUCUUCAUCUCCUUCCAAGCGCCAUGUCUUUGUUCUAUUCACAGUCUAUUGAUGACAAUUUAAGUAUUCUCUAAUACUGUUAUCAUUUUUUCUUAACCCCGUCCUUCAUUCUGAGUUCUCACUAGCAGAGCCAUUAACAUUCGUAUUUUAACUAACAAUGUAUUCAAAACAAUCCAGUCUUCAAGGCACCUGGAUCGCUCAGUCAGUUGAGCAUCCACCCACUCUUGAUUUCAGCUCAGGUUGUGAUCCCAGGGUCCCAGGGCCAUGGAAUCGAGUCCCGUGUUGGCUUCCAGGCUGAGCUCAGAGCCUGUUUAAGAUUCUUUUCCUCUGCCUCCCUUCCCCACUCAUGCUCUGUCUCUCUCUCUCUCUCUCUCUCUCUGUCUGUAAAAUAAAAUAAAUAAAAUAAUAAAACAGUCUAAGCUUUUUCCCAUCAUUCUCCUGAAAAUUCUUCUAGCCUCUACACUUUACCCAAUUUUAAAGCAACUGCCACAUUCUUAGGUAUUGUUUUUCCGCAGCACCCCACUCUCAGUACCAAAAUCUUUAUUAGUUUCCUAUUAAUGCUGUAAAAAAUUACCACAACAUUAGUGACUUAAAACAACAGAAAUUUAUUAUCUUACAGUUCUGAAGGUCAGAAUUCUGAAAAUCAGGCUCCUUAGACUACAAUGAAGGUUUCAGCAGGAUAUUCAUUCCAGAAGGUUCUGUGGGAGAGUCCCUUCCUUGCCUUUCUAGCUGCCAGAGACUGCCUAAAUUCUUUGGCAGUAAAGCAGUUAUUGUCUAAAGGUUUUCUGUAUUGCUAAGCUGUCUUAUUUCCUCAACUUUUGACUAGAUAGCAGGCGUAGGUUGUGACUGUUUUUGUUUUCUUUUGUUUUUAUUUUUGGCACAAUCACAUUUGUGAUUCUGGGUUGCCAGCUUUUCCAGUCUGGGAGAAUGAGGUAAAAAGAAAACCCAGGAACUCACCACCGGUUUGUUCCUUAGGUCCUAAGGUCCCUAUCCUGUUUGUCGUCUUCUCUCCAACUUUCAUAGUUUUCUUAUGUUUGUUUUUAUAUGUAACGUUCAGGGAUUUUUAGUUAUACCUAGAAGGAGAAGUAGGGGGGAAGAACCUUCUCUCAUCUUUUAAGACAAUAGUGUCUCUUUUUAGGCUCUUCAAAGGCCCUGCACAUAUGGCUGAUGUGUCAAGUACUUGAGAAUCCUUCCGGCCGAGUCUCUUCUGUGAUGCCCUGUGGAGGCAGCUUCCUGUAAUUGGGGUUAUACUUCCUAGAAUUAUGUGCACCUAGAGUCAUUCUUCCUUCCCUGCCAGUGCUUGUUCUGUUGAUUUCUGGGAUUCAGAGCUUCACGAUGGUUGUAGAAACGACCAUAGAGCUACUGAGACAGAAGGCUAGAUGUUUCCUCAAAGUAGAGGGUUCGGUAUGUACUAAGGUAGUUAGAAACCCUCAGCUUCAGAGUCAUAAGGUGAGCACUGGGGGAAGAAAUAAGUUUCCCUUUGUUUUGGUCACAAAACAUGUAUUGCUUCUUGUCGUUCUAGUAAUGCUUCGGGUGUUGUUUUUGGAAAUUCCUUCUCAGUUAUUGUGAGAUACGCUGCCAGUCUUAAUUUAUUUUUGGUGUUAUCUUGUUGCCUUUUUGUGAAUCUCGUAAGUGUCGGAGAGGUUAUGUUGUGGAAAGCCCAUCAGCACACUAUUAACAGCGCUUCCAGAGGAAUAGUUCCGACUGCCCAUUGCAUGGCUCUACCCACAUGUCCUGCGGGCACAUCACCUCAAGCUCAGUACAUCCUAGGUAGAGGCAGGCCUGGGAGCCAGCAUCUCUUCUUACCUCUGUCUCCUCGGAGCUUUCUUUCAGUUAACGAUAACACUAGUUACUCAAGUGCCGGAGCCAGAAAACCGCAGGUCACAAAUUUCUCCUUGCACUUCACCUCCAUAUGUUUUAUUUCUUGGGUCUUGUCGGUGUUCACUGGCUUUGUCUGGAUUGGGCCUAUCAGUCCGAGUCCCCGCAAACCCAAUGGAUUCCAGUCGAAGCCCCCUUCAAUUUUUCUUCACUCUGCUACCAAAUAUCUUAAAAGGCAUGCGUUGUCAUAUUGUUCUAUUUAAAAUUCUUCAACGGCUUCCUUCUCUGUAAGUAUAGAAAAACAACAAACAAAAUAUUAAUAAAAAGCAAAUUCUUCGCAAUCCAGCCCAGUGGUUCUCAAAUCUGGAUAUUCCUGGAAUCACCUGGAUAGCUUUGAAGACUUAAAAGUUCCUGGGCCUCAUGCCGGAAAAUGCCGAUUUAAUUGGUGUGGGCUGAUGUCCAGGCUCUGUUAUCAUUGUUGUUGUGCCUUUUUUGUGGAGAUGAAACUAACAUAAUAUAAAAUCAGUAUUUUAAAAGGGACUAAUUCAGAGGUAGCCACCUCUAUUUACUUCUAAAUUCUUUAUCACCUCAAAAGAAAACCACAUUCUCAAUAAGCAGUUAUCUCCCAUCCCCCUCCUUACCCAGCCCCCCGGAAACCACCAGUCUUUGUUCUGUCUCUAUGUAUUUAACAUUUCUGGAUGUUUCAUCUAAAUGGAAUCAUGCAAUAUGUGAUCUUGUGUGUCUGAAUUCUUUCGCUUAGCACAUUAUCUUCAAUGUUCUUCAUUCUUUCCAUGGCUGAAUAACAUUCCACUGUAUGUAUACAUAACUGUUCAUCCAUUAAUCCAUUGGUGGACAUUUGGCCGUUUCCACCUUUUUUGGAUGUUGUGAACAGUGCUGCUAGGAGUAUGCAUGGCAAAUGGAUGUUAGUACCUGCUUUUAGUCCUUUCAAAAUGCAUGGGAAUAGAACUGCUGAGCUAUAUGGUAAUUCUAUGUUUAGCGUUUCAAGGAACUACCGAACUGUUUUCCACAGCAGCUGAACCAGUUUACAUUCCUGCCAGCAAUGUAUGAGCAUUCCAAUUUAUCUACCCUUGCCAAUACUUGUUAUUUCCAGUUUGAUUUUAUUAUAGCCACUCUAAUAGGUGUGAAAUGGUACCUCAUUUUGGUUUUGAUUUGCAUUUCCCUAAUGACUAAUGAGGUAGGGCAUCUAUUCAUGUGUUUGUUGGCCAUUUGCAUAUUUCUUUAAAGAAAUGUCUACAUAUUUUGCCUAAUUUUAAAGUGGGAUAUUUGUUAUUAUUUUGUUGUUGAGUUGUAGUUCUUUAUAUAUUCUGGAUACUAGACCUUAUCAGAUAUGUGAUUUACAAAUGUUUUCUCCCAUUCUGUAGGUUGUAUUUUCACUUUCUCGAUAAUAAUGUCCUUAAGUGCGCAAAAGUUUUUGGUUUUCAAGAAGCCGAAUCUAUCUUUUUUUUUUUUUUUAUUUUGUUUCUCAUGCUUUGGUUGUAUCUAAGAAUCAGUCCAUUGCCAAAUAAAAGUCAUGAAGACUUUUACCUCUCAGUUUCCUUCUAACGGUUUUAUGGUUCCAGUUUUUUGAGUUAAUUUUUGCCUGUGGUGUGAGGUAGGGGGUACAACUUCAUUCUUUUGCAUAUGGAUAUCCAGUUGUCCCAGCCCCAUUUGUUGAAAAGACUUUUUCCUGCAUUGAAUGGUUUUGACACCAUUGUUGAAAAUCAACUAUCCAUAGACACAUAGGUUUAUUUAUCAACUCUCUGUUCUGUUUCAUUGGUCUGUAUGUCUUUUCUCAUGCCAGUACACACUACUUUGAUUACUGUAUCUUUAUAAUACGUUUUGAAAUUGGGAAGUAUGAGUCCUCCGGCUUUGUUUUUCUUUUCUAACAUUGUUUGGCUAUUCACAGCUCUUCACAAUCCAUAUACGUUUUGAGGAAAAGCUUUCAACCUUUGCAGAAAUUUUAAAAAAACAGUGGUAUUUUGAUAGGGAUUUUAUUGAAUCUGUAGAUUGCCAUCUUAACUAUAGUAAGUCUUCCAAUCCAUGAACAUUGGAUGUCUUUCCAUUUAUUUAGGUUUUCUUUAAUUUCACUUUCAUUUCAACUAUUGUACUUUUCAAUUCCAGAAUUUCUAUUUGGUUCCUUUUUAUAAUGUCUAUAUCUUUACUGCUAUUCUCUGUUUGUUUAUACAUAAUUGUCCUGACUACGCUGGAUUUUUUUUGCAUAAUUAAGGCAGUUGACUUAAUGUCAUUGUUUAAUAAGUCCAAAUCUGUAUUUCCUCAGUCAGUUUCUGUUACUUCUGUGAAGGGCCAUGCUUUCCUAUUUCUUUGUAUGCUUCAUAAUUUCUUAUUGAAAACUGGACAUUUUGAACAGUAUAAUGUAGUAAAACUGGAAAUCAGAUUUUUCCCCUUCCUCAGCAUUUGUUUUUGUUGUGUGCUGUGGGAUGUUUUUGUUUAGUGACCCUUCUAAAGUAUUUUUGUAAAGUGUGUGUUCUUUGUCAUGUGUGGUCUCUGAAGCCUCUUUUCCUUUAGGUUGUAUUCAGCUAGUGUUUUGAGAGUAAUUUCCUUGAACACCAUGAACUAAGGGGAAAAAAAGGGGAAGAACAAGAAGAAAAAGAAGAAGAAACAAAAAUGCCAAGCACACAACACACACAACACACACACACACACACACACACACACACACACACACACACUCCUCUCCCAGUCUUUGCAGUUUGGCUGUUUGCUAGUGCACUCCAUCAGUAUUUAGCCAGCCCAUUUAGAGUAUUGUCUCCAUGUUCUUCCUGAGUUCACUAAGCCCAGAAAUCAGCCAGAAGUGAAAGCUUAAGGCUUUCUCACUCCUUCUGUGAAUAUAUAUCCUGUCUUGGCUGUAUGCAUAGCCCUCUAAAUUCCAUAAUGUACAUGGAAGAUUUUGCAUGCCCUUUUUCCCUAAAGACACUCUCUUUCCAGCUUUCCCUUUAAGUUUUUGGCACUCUGUCAUACACCUCAACUGUAAUUUUUGUCCAGGUGACUACAGGCUGCUAGUUCAUUUUAGAAUGAUUUGAGGACUACCUACUGCCUUUCCAGCCUGAGCCUGAGUUGAAACAAAAACAAAUGCUUCCUGUCCGUCCUUCAGAUAGCCUCAGACAGAUUAAAACAUAGAGACCCAAUUCUUUGCAAAUAAGUUCUGCUCUGCUCCUUCCAGAGCCAGAGACCAGAGUCCCACACUGGGAAUGUGGGUGGCCUUCUUCAAGACCACCCCUGAGCUGGGGAGGGGGUGCGGCAAGGGCAAGUAAAAAUGCCAGGAAGCUUUUCUACCAUUUUUCAGUUUUUACCUUUAUUCAGCAUUUAGUAAUGGCUGUUUUCCAGAGCAAAGGUAGCUCUGAUCGUUUCCCUUUGAUUUUUUUUUUAAUGCUUCUGUGGACGGAUGAGUGCUUACAGUUGCCUACUUCCUCAUUUUCACUGACCACUUACUAUUUUUUAAAGUCUUUUUAAUUACUUUUGAAAAGACGAUUCUAGUGAGCAGCCUCAAUGAGAACGGCCACAGCCACAGGCUUCCCCUCCAUGGUCAUCUAUCACCACAGUCUCUCUAGUUCCGUCAGAGUGCUCAUAGCUGCAGCCUGCCAGUGGGUCUGUUAGAUCUUUGACUUUCCAUUCAAAGUGCACUCCCAUUUCUAACUUUUCCAGGGAGAGUCCGACCACCUCCAUCACUUUCAUAAUUGUCUACCGGUUUGCUCCUCUAACUGAAUUGUAGCUUUGAGGGCAAGCAUUUUCUCUUCCUCACCUUCCAUACCGCAAUGUCAGACACAUAUUAGAGGGUCAACAAAUGUUACAAGUGAACCACAAACUGUGCUUAGUAAGUCUUGCUAAAAAUAUGUAUGUUGAUUUAAAAUAUUUUCUGUAUAUUGAUCUCAAGGAAAACACAAUCUUCUCCUCCUCGUCCUUCUCCUUCCAUCAUCAUUUUCUUUCUCAGGCAACACCAGCCCCAGCAAGGAGUAUUCAAAGACUGUGAAUAAAUAAUUGUGUUAGGAGAAAUAGUCCUUAGCCCCAGAUCUCACCAGUUCAAUGACUAAAGGUCCUACUUCAUUUCAAAUGCACACCUUCGCUUGGCAGUGUCCUGGGAUGGGUGCCUCUGAUGCCCACCUGCUGCAAGCCUGGUGUAGGUUCUGUCAUCUCUCUCUCUCUCUCUCUCUCUCUCUCUCUCUCUCUUUAAAUUUUAUUUAAAUCCAAGUUAAUAUACAGUGUAAUAAUGGUUUCAGGAACAGGAUUUAGUGAUCCAUCAUUUACAUAUAAACCCCCAGGGCUCAUCCCGACAAGUGCCCUCCUUACUGCCCUUUACCCCCUUAGCCCAUCCUCCCACCCAGCAUGCCUCCAGCAACCCAGUUUGUUCUCUGUAUUUAAGUCUCUUAUGGUUUGUCUCCCUUUCCAUUUUUAUCUAAUUUCUCCUUCCCUUCCCCUGUGUUCAUCUGUUUUGUUUCUUAAAUUCCACAUAUGCAUGAAAUCAUAUAUGUAUCUUUCUCUGACUGACUUCACUUAGCGUAAUAUACUCUGGUUCCAUCCACAUUGUUGCAGAUGGCAAGAUUUCAUUCUUUUUUAUCUCUGAGUGAUACUCCAUUGUAUGUAUAUACACCACAUCUUUAUCCAUUCAUCCAUUGAUGGACAUUCAGGCUCUUUCAUACUUUGGCUGUUGUUGAUAGUGCUGCUAUAAACAUUGGACAUGCAUCUGUCUCUUCAAAUCAGCAUUUUUUUGUGGAUAAAUACCUAGUGGUACAAUUGCUGGGUUGUAGGAUAGUUCUAUUUUUAAUUUUUUGAGGAACCUCCAUACUGUUCUCCAGACUGAUUACACCAGUUUGCAUUCCCACCAGCAGUGCAAAAGACAUCCUCUCUCUCCACAUCCUCGCCAACAUCUGUUGUUGCCUGAGAGGUUAACAUGAGACAUUCUGACAGGUGUGAAGUGGGAUCUCAUUGUGGUUUUGAUGUGUAUUUCCCUGAUGAUGAGUGAUGUUGAGCAUCUUUCCAUGAGUCUGUGCGCCAUCCGGAUGUCUUCUUUCAAAAAGUGUCUAUCCAUGUCCUCUGCCCAUUUCUUCACAAAAGUAUUUUUUGGGUGUUGAGUUUGGUAAGUUCUUUAUUAGAUUUUGGAUACUAACCCUUUAUCUGAUAUGUCCUUUGCAAUUAUCUUCUCCCAUUCCAUCGGUUGCCUUUUAGUUUUGCUGAUUGUCUCCUUCACUGUGCAGAAGCUGGCUUAUCUCGAUGAGGUCCCAGUAGUUCAUUUCUGUUGUUUGUCAUCUCUUGACCUUAACUGCUGCUCCUCUUGCUCCUGCAGACUAGAGAUGUGCCACUUCUCCCUGUCACUGUCAGCAUGGUGCAAAGUGCUGUGCUCCUCACUUUCCUACUGAGGCAGGGGUUCUGGUAGCUCACAUUUCAGAUACGCCCUUCCGGAUCCACCUGGAGUGGACAGACACCACAAGUUUGGCUGCUUGAAGCUGUGUCCUCCUGAGAGGGACUUUCACGCUUAAAAUGAACUGUCAAUGGCAUGCUCUGUAGGAUCGUUUCCAAGGGAAAGACUCCAUGAUUCGCAAAGUGCUGAUUUAAAUCAUGAAUGUCAUCUAACGACGGUUUCCUGUUUGCCCUGUCGUGUGUUUCUUGGAGAGUCUGUAACCCGACUACGACCCUGGCGGCAAGGAGUCAUUUUGACACCACCUUUCCUGGCACGAGGGCAGCCGGACAAACUAAAUACGUGCAUGACAGAGAACAAAACCAAACCACGUGAUCUCACUGGCCGCUGCGGCAGAGUUCUGAUUUCCCUACUUCCGAAAUGAAAUCGAUCUUACCUUCUGUGGGAAGCGUAGUUUCCAGUCACGUGCCCGGAACCAUCGCAACCCGGGGUUGGACACCUGGAAAACACAGGAACAGAGUGCUGGCCGUGUGGUUGUGGGGGAGGGAAGGGGAGCAUGCCACGUUCAAGUAGAACUAAACAGAACGAGUUGCUUUUUGUGGGGCUCUUUUUUUCCCCCUUAAAUGUAAUGAGUUUUUGCCUAAGAAUACAUUUUUAAGGACUAUGUUAAGUUGGGGGCGCCCGGGUGGCUCAGUCGGUUAAGGGUCGCACUUCGGCUCAGGUCAUGAUCUCGCGGUCCGUGAGUUCGCGCCCUGCGUUGGGCUCUGUGCUGAUGGCUCAGAGCCUGGAGCCUGCUUUGGAUUCUGUGUCUCCCCCCCUCUCUGCCCCUCCCCUGCUUGUGCUCUCUCUCUGUCUCUCAAAAUAUGAAUAAAUGUUAAAAAAAAAAAGUAAAAAAAUAAAGAAUAUGUUAAGAUGUAUAAGAUAA